UAGUGUCAAGAGAAGCAUCCCAAAGGAGAAAUUGAGUCUUGGGUCAGGACAGGUGAUGCAGAAACCCUUCAUGGCAGGUUUUGCACUCAAAUGGCAGGUUUUGCACUCAAAGCAGGUUUAGAAGGCACUCCAGAUUCUCACCGAUCCCCGAUUUCCUUUUCACAGGUGGGGGCUUCCCUGUUUGCCAGUAAUGUUGGCAGCGGGCAUUUCAUCGGCUUGGCUGGCUCUGGGGCAGCUUCUGGAAUUGCUGCCACGGCCUACGAAUGGAAUGGGAUGUUUUGUGUCCUGGUGCUGGCGUGGCUGUUUGUUCCCAUCUACCUUGCAAGCGGGGUAAGUGAGUCAGUGCCCAGAAAGCCUCCUCUGCUCUCCUGGAGAGUCGAGCCCUUCUCGAUCGCACCUGCCCU